AUUUGGUUUCCAUCAGAUACCUUAUAAACAAGUCAAAUCAAUAACAUAUUCUGAAGAAGAGUGGUAUAUUAUUAAAUAUCAAACUUCAUUUUCUGGAGCAAAAGAGACAAUUGACAUAAGAAAGAAAAAAAACACUAUUUUAAGUGAAAUUAUCAUAAAAGAGGAAAAUAAAACACUAACGAAAAAGAAAAUUGAUGACAUUCGGAGCAUGUUCAAAUAUAUGCCAGUAGAAGACAAAAUAAGACAUUAAGUGCAGGAAAUAAAGCUAAAGAAGAGAAAAUUGCGAGGAAGCCUACAAAAGACAAGACAGUAAGAAAAAAAUAAAAAAUAAGUAGUUCUAAGCAAGCAC